AUUGUAUUUAGCGUUAUAAAAUAAAAAAUAGAGCCUCAUUCGCGAACGGAAACUAGUUAUAUUUUACAAUAUGUCCUCUUAUUGGCCAGGCCUAGAGAGCGUUAAUAGGUAUAUCAGUCGUAUACGAUACGAUAUAUAAAUCACUACAACGAUAUUCUUAUGAUUCAUAAUAAAAAUCGUAGGCUGAAAAAGGGUUUGGUUAACGGAAUUGGUUAUUUAGCAAACAGCUUAUUUGGCGUUCUCGAUGACAGGUUCUUUGAACAAUACGAGAAAGACAUUUAGAAAAAUAAAAUCAACGAAAGUCACUUACAAAUAUUGUUAAAAAACCAGACUGGUGUCAUAGAGGCACAGUCUUGUAUUUUACGUAGAAAUGAAUACAUAAUGAACAAACACUUUGGUGUUAUUCAGGAUUAUAUUAGAAAUAUGUUAUUAACUUUGAAUGGUGUUCAGUUACAUAAUAGAAAUGAAUUGUAUAUUUUAUCUUCUUUUAGCUGUUCAAAUAAUUAUAUAAAAUAUUAAGUGUUCAACAAAAUUUGAUUAAUACUGUAACCGAUAUUUGACAUUUAAUAUGUAUCUAUUUUAUUUUAAUCCGUGUCUUCUCUUAUUUCCUUUUUGGAGUGGGCAGUAUGUACAGAGUAUAUACAUACAUACUCUGUCCAUUCAAUUUGUUUCAAUAUAUAUAUUUUUAUGUUCUUUGUCUACUAAGCGUUUCAUAUACAUUGUGUAUUAACGUGUAUUAAUAUGAAUAAACCAGUGUAAAAACAGCA